rnacentral:rRNA from 1 species
GAGUACUCGGAGGACAUUAACGAGUAACUGAACGGGUUGUAGCUGGCCUCUCGGGGCAUGUGCACACCUGGCUCAUCCACUCUUCAACCUCUGUGCACUUGUUGUAGGUCGGCAGAAGGGCGAGCCUUAAAACAGCUCGCUUGGAAGCCUUCCUAUGUUUUAUUACAAACGCUUCAGUUUAAGAAUGUAACCUGCGUAUAACGCAACUAUAUACAACUUUCAGCAACGGAUCUCUUGGCUCUCGCAUCGAUGAAGAACGCAGCGAAAUGCGAUAAGUAAUGUGAAUUGCAGAAUUCAGUGAAUCAUCGAAUCUUUGAACGCACCUUGCGCUCCCUGGUAUUCCGGGGAGCAUGCCUGUUUGAGUGUCAUGGUAUCCUCAUCCUUCAUAACUUUUUGUUAUCGAAGGCAUGGACUUGGAGGUCGUGCUGGUUCCUCGUUGAAUCGGCUCCUCUUAAAUGUAUUAGCGUGAGUGUAACGGAUCGCUUCGGUGUGAUAAUUAUCUGCGCCGUGGUCGUGAAGGAACAUAAGCUUGCGCUUCUAACCGUCCUUAAGUUGGACAGCUUACUUUGACAUCUGACCUCAAAUCAGGUAGGACUACCCGCUGAACUUAAGCAUAUCAAAAACGGGGGGGG